GAUGAACGCUGGCGGCGUGCCUAAUACAUGCAAGUCGAGCGAACAGGCGAGGAGCUUGCUCCUCUGACGUUAGCGGCGGACGGGUGAGUAACACGUGGAUAAUCUACCUAUAAGACUGGGAUAACUUCGGGAAACCGGAGCUAAUACCGGAUAAUAUAUUGAACCGCAUGGUUCAAUAGUGAAAGACGGUUUUGCUGUCACUUAUAGAUGGAUCCGCGCCGCAUUAGCUAGUUGGUAAGGUAACGGCUUACCAAGGCAACGAUGCGUAGCCGACCUGAGAGGGUGAUCGGCCACACUGGAACUGAGACACGGUCCAGACUCCUACGGGAGGCAGCAGUAGGGAAUCUUCCGCAAUGGGCGAAAGCCUGACGGAGCAACGCCGCGUGAGUGAUGAAGGUCUUCGGAUCGUAAAACUCUGUUAUUAGGGAAGAACAAAUGUGCAAGUAACUAUGCACGUCUUGACGGUACCUAAUCAGAAAGCCACGGCUAACUACGUG
rnacentral:rRNA from 1 species